rnacentral:sRNA from 1 species
UAGUGUUCUUCAUUCCCUCGGAGGGCCC